GCGCCUGGAGCGGCUUCUUCUCCUCUUCAAUUUUCAGCCGGCGGUGAGGGUCCGGUCACCUGCAAACACAAGAAAAACACACAGAGCAGUCGGUUUUACUUUGUUGUUUUUUUUUAGAUCAGUUUCGUUUUUUCCUUUUUUAGAUCUGCAAUCAAAUCCUUCUAUUCCCGGUGGCUGCUCCUUCGUUCUUCAGACAGCGGAGUGUUGGGUGGCUCGCCGGGCGUUGCUGCGAUGGAAGAGGGGAUCGUGGGUCUGCCACCGGUUGAAGGAGAUGAUGACGGUGCUGCCCCGGCGCUGGAUCUGUUCGGUCGUCGCUGCUGUGGAAGGAAACCGAAGGAGAAACAGCCGUGGCUGAGGAGGAGAUCGUGACCUGGGAGGCGCCGGAGCUGGAAGCUGUGGGAAAGAAGAGAAAAAUAAAUCAAACCCGCGGGGAGAAGAGUUGUGGCUGGUUCUCCGUGGGGAAAGGAGAGUGGUGCUGCUGGUGGGUCUGUGUUGAUGACCGGGCUGUAGGGAAGGAAGGAAAAUGAAUGUGUGGGGGCCGGUUGGCUGAUUUGAAAGAAACACAGCCAAGGGGCAGCUGGUUAAGGGAGAAGAAGAUGAAAAUAACGAAAAGGAAGGGCUGUCUUGGCUGAGAGGGAGACGGGUCGCAGGGAGAGAGGCGAACAAGUGGGGAGCAGCUGCUGUUUUGGGAGAGAAAAAUCCCAACCGGGUGGAGGAGGUCGUGCGUUGCUCCGGGUCGGAAAAAUGAAAAAGAACACUGGGGGGGGCGGCGGCUGGCCUUCGUGAAGGAGAGGAAAUCAGUUCAGUUUUUUAGGGUUUUUCCCUUUUGUGUUCCCU
rnacentral:lncRNA from 1 species